CAGCCGCGGGAAUACGUAGGGUGCAAGCGUUAAUCGGAAUUACUGGGCGUAAAGCGUGCGCAGGCGGUUAUAUAAGACAGAUGUGAAAUCCCCGGGCUCAACCUGGGAACUGCAUUUGUGACUGUAUAGCUAGAGUACGGCAGAGGGGGAUGGAAUUCCGCGUGUAGCAGUGAAAUGCGUAGAUAUGCGGAGGAACACCGAUGGCGAAGGCAAUCCCCUGGGCCUGUACUGACGCUCAUGCACGAAAGCGUGGGGAGCAAACAGGAUUAGAUACCCCUGUAGUCCCUGUCUCUUAUACACA
rnacentral:rRNA from 1 species